rnacentral:rRNA from 1 species
AGCGAACGCUGGCGGCAGGCUUAACACAUGCAAGUCGAGCGGUCACUUUCGGGUGUUAGCGGAGGACGGGUGAGUAACGCGGGGGGACGUGCGCUCUGGUUCGGAAUAACUCAGGGAAACAUGAGCUAAUACCGGAUACGCCCAUUUGGGAAAAGGACUUCUGGCGGGGGAUUGGGGUGAGAAAGAUUCGAUAGUUGGUGAGGUAACAGCUCACCCAGGCGACGAGCAGUAACUGGUCUGAGAGGAUGAUCAGCCACACUAGGCCUGAGACACGGACCAGACUCCUGCGGGAGGCAGAAGUGGUGAAUAAUGAACGAUGCGCGCGAGCCUGAUCCUGCCGUGCCGCGAGAGUGGUGAGGUCGUGAGGAUUGUAAAGCUCUUUUAACCGGGACGAUAAUGACGGUACCGGAGGAAUAAGGCCCGGCUAACUACGUG